AUGUAAGUUUUUGCUUGUAUUUUUAUUUAUUUUAAUAAUAAGUAAAUUAAGCUAUAAUCUCAGUAAUUAAUAUUAUUAAUCAAGGAAACUUGUAAAUAGUAAUUUUUUUUAGUAUUGGCUAAAUUUGUGCCAGCAGCCGCGGUUACACUAAUAAUGCAAAUAAAAUUAGUUCAGUGGGAGUUAAUUUGAUUUAUAAAUUAAAAUAAAUAUAAAUUUAUUAGGUGAAAUUUUUAAAUUUAUUAAAUUUUAUAAUUUAUAUAGUGAAGCUUGUAAACUUUAUUUUGAGACUAGGAUUAGAUACCCUAUUAUUUAAAAUGUAAAUUUAAACACUAAGGUAGUAGUAGUUAUGUUCUUUAAACUUAAAAAAUUUGGCGGUAUUUUAGUCCAUUCAGAGGAACCUGUCCUGUAAUUGAUAAUCCACGAUGUACCUCACUUAAAUUUGUUUUCAGUUUAUAUACCGUCGUUAUCAGAAUAUUUUAAUAGAAAAAUAAUUUUCAGUAAUUUUUAUGAGAACUUAUAUCAGAUCAAGGUGUAGCUUAUGUUUAAGUAGAGAUGGGUUACAAUAAAAUUAUUUAUAAGGAUUUAAUUUUGAAAUUUUUAAUGAAAGUGGAUUUGAUAGUAAAAUCUUAAAGAUUAAAGGUUUGAUUAUGGCUCUAAAAUAUGCACACAUCGCCCGUCGCUCUUAUUAUUAAGAUAAGAUAAGUCGUAACAUAGUAGAUGCA
rnacentral:rRNA from 1 species